rnacentral:siRNA from 1 species
UGGAUUCCAUUGAUAUGCUUCUCC